GUUUGUAGCUUAGUUGGUAGAGCACUUGACUUUUAAUCAAGGGGUCCUGAGUUCGAAUCUCAGCAA
rnacentral:tRNA from 1 species